rnacentral:rRNA from 1 species
AUUGAACGCCGGCGGCAGGCCUAACACAUGCAAGUCGAGCGGAUGAAGGGAGCUUGCUCCUGGAUUCAGCGGCGGACGGGUGAGUAAUGGCUAGGAAUCUGCCUGGUAGUGGGGGAUAACGUCCGGAAACGGGCGCUAAUACCGCAUACGUCCUGAGGGAGAAAGUGGGGGAUCUUCGGACCUCACGCUAUCAGAUGAGCCUAGGUCGGAUUAGCUAGUUGGUGGGGUAAAGGCCUACCAAGGCGACGAUCCGUAACUGGUCUGAGAGGAUGAUCAGUCACACUGGAACUGAGACACGGUCCAGACUCCUACGGGAGGCAGCAGUGGGGAAUAUUGGACAAUGGGCGAAAGCCUGAUCCAGCCAUGCCGCGUGUGUGAAGAAGGUCUUCGGAUUGUAAAGCACUUUAAGUUGGGAGGAAGGGCAGUAAGUUAAUACCUUGCUGUUUUGACGUUACCAACAGAAUAAGCACCGGCUAACUUCGUG